UUUUUUUUAAACGAAGGGAGUAAAAUUUAUCUAUCAACUUUUGCUUCCCUAUAAAUGCAUUGGUUAAGAGUGACAAUUAAAAUCAAUAAUAACAAUCAAAUAGACUCUUGUGCUACCACAAAAAACAUUGAAGAGAAUGGAGAAGGCAACAUUCUUCAAGAUUUUCUUGGUCUCAAUUUUGCUUAUUUUGUUAGGUAAGCAUUUCUCCUAUCUAGCAACUUUUCUAGACAAGUUUUAGCAAUUUAUGUGUCCUUUUGAUAUUAUGAAUAAAAUUUAAGUUAUAUGCAUUCACAAUACAAUUAUAUUAUCUGGCAAUUUGACUUGUCAUAGCAUGCCUCUUAUCAUUUAUUGUACGUUAAUAGAGUUACAUACAAUUACGUACCAUUGAAUUGAUCUAAUUGUAAAUAAUAAAAAUAUAUUUGUGUUUUCAUUACAUAGAACAAAACUCCAUGUAUAUAUGCAUUUGUUCACAUUUUCAUAUGUUUACAUCGCUUGUUAAAAAUCUUGCAUACGUCACUAACUUAUAUUCCACAACGUCAACAUUGCUAGGACUAGGAAGCCAUGCGACAGGAUGCACUAGAGAUGCCGAUUGUGUUAAGGUUGUGAGAUGCAUAGACUCACAUCCCGAAUGUGACUUGAUAAAACAUCUAUGCGUCUGUCGAGCUCCACCAGCUAGUUAUGGAAUAAAAAGCAUUCACAAGACUGAGCAAAACUGAUUUAUGUUUGUUAUUCAUGUGCAAAUAAAUUGAACCAUCAUUUAUGUUUUUCCAUGUCAUAAGGUUCAAUAAAGGUUCCUUAUUUUCAUAUUGAUCAUGUUGGAU
rnacentral:lncRNA from 1 species